UGUUCCCUCAGGCCGCGAGGGUCCCUGUGCUAACUCUCCCACGAGAAAACAGCUGGGCUGGCCAAGCCCAGGACUGUUAUCAUCGUGAGUGCUGGCGCCCAGCCCAGACAAGGAGCCUCAAGGACACACGAUUUUUAAAGGGGCAUGCCAGCUAGUGCCCCUACAAUGUCAAGUCCCUGAGAC